AUCAAUGGUCAUAUCACGUUGAAAAGACCAAUUCUCGUCCGAUCACUGGAGUUGAGCAACGUUGUGCACGAUUAGUACUUGGGGUGGUGACCCACCCGGGAACAUGUGUAUAGUUGGUG
rnacentral:rRNA from 1 species